rnacentral:rRNA from 1 species
GGGUCAGUAGGUUGGUCGUGCCACCGGUACGUACUGGUCUCACUGAUUCCUCCUUCCUGAAGAACAGUAAUGCCAUUAAUUUGGUGUUGCGGGGAAACAGGACUGUUACUUUGAAAAAAUUAGAGUGUUUAAAGCAAUCUAACGCUUGAAUACAUUAGCAUGGAAUAAUGAAAUAGUACGAUCGAUCCUAUUUUGUUGGUUUCUAGGAUUGACGUA